UACGAAGGGGGCUAGCGUUGCUCGGAAUGACUGGGCGUAAAGCGUGCGUAGGCGGUUCUUUAAGUCUGCUGUGAAAUCCCCGGGCUCAACCUGGGAAUGGCAGUGGAUACUGGGGAGCUAGAGUGUGAUAGAGGAUGGUGGAAUUCCCGGUGUAGCGGUGAAAUGCGUAGAGAUCGGGAGGAACAUCAGUGGCGAAGGCGGCCAUCUGGAUCAACACUGACGCUGAGGCACGAAAGCGUGGGGAGCAAACAGG
rnacentral:rRNA from 1 species